GUUGGUAGAGUACAUCACUCGUAAUGAUGAAGUCGAGAGUUCAAAUCUCUUCUCCAGCU
rnacentral:tRNA from 1 species